rnacentral:rRNA from 1 species
AUUGAACGCUGGCGGCAUGCUUUACACAUGCAAGUCGAACGGUAACAGGCCUUCGGGUGCUGACGAGUGGCGCACGGGUGAGUAAUGCAUCGGAACGUACCCAGAGGUGGGGGAUAACGCAGCGAAAGCUGUGCUAAUACCGCAUGUGAUCUGAGGAUGAAAGCGGGGGACCGAGCAGCAAUGUUUGGCCUCGCGCCUUUGGAGCGGCCGAUGUCGGAUUAGCUAGUUGGUGGGGUAAAGGCCUACCAAGGCGACGAUCCGUAGCUGGUCUGAGAGGACGAUCAGUCACACUGGAACUGAGACACGGCCCAGACUCCUACGGGAGGCAGCAGUGGGGAAUUUUGGACAAUGGGCGCAAGCCUGAUCCAGCCAUGCCGCGUGCGGGAAGAAGGCCUUCGGGUUGUAAACCGCUUUUGGCAGGAACGAAACGGUGUCCGCUAAUACCGGGCGCUAAUGACGGUACCUGCAGAAUAAGCACCGGCUAACUACGUG